CUGGCGGCGUGCCUAAUACAUGCAAGUCGAUCGCUGGAAUUCCAGCUUGACUGGAAUGAAGGAGAGGCGAACGGGUGAGUAAUACAUAAGCAACCUGCCCACGAAGACUGGGAUAAUUCCUGGAAACGGGGACUAAUACCGGAUAGGUAGUGUGAUCGCAUGAUCGCACUAUUAAAGGUUCAAGGCACUGGUGGAUGGGCUUAUGGCGCAUUAGCUGGUUGGUGAGGUAACGGCCCACCAAGGCGACGAUGCGUAGCCGGCCUGAGAGGGUGAACGGCCACAUUGGGACUGAGACACGGCCCAGACUCCUACGGGAGGCAGCAGUAGGGAAUUUUCGGCAAUGGGCGCAAGCCUGACCGAGCAACGCCGCGUGAGUGAAGACGGCCUUCGGGUUGUAAAGCUCUGUUGUAAGGGAAGAAUUGGCAUGAGAGAAUCGUGCAGUGACGGUACCUUACCAGAAAGCCACGGCUAACUACGUGCCAGCCGCUGC
rnacentral:rRNA from 1 species